rnacentral:misc_RNA from 1 species
GUGGCUUGGUAGAGGGUGGAGGAGAGGGCGGAGCCCGAGGUGAUCUGGUGGAGCUUGCGGGCGCCGAAGUAGUCGACGAGGACGUGGAGGGAGAGGAGGUUUUUGAGGGCGUAGAGGGAGAGGUGCUUGGCGAGGACGGGGGCCAUGGCGGAGUUGUCAAGGGCGAGGACGGUGAUGGUCUCGCGGCGGUUGAUCUCGGCGGCGAGGUGCGUGGCGGAGAGGUAGUGGUUGAAGGUGGAGAA